rnacentral:rRNA from 1 species
AUAUUGGACAAUGGGGGCAACCCUGAUCCAGCUAUGCCGCGUGUGUGAAGAAGGUCUUCGGCUUGUAAAGCACUUUAAGUUGGGAGGAAGGGCAUUAGGUUAAUACCCUGAAGUUUUGACGCUACCCACAGAAUAAGCACCGGCUGACUCUGUGCCAGCAGACGCGGUAAUUCAGAGGGUGCAAGGGUUAACCGGAAUUACUGCGCGUAAAGCGGUCGUAGGUGGUUCAGUAAAAUGGGUGUGAAAUCCCCGGGCUUAACCUGGGAACUGCUUUCAUAACUGCUGAGCUAGAGUACGGUAGAGGGUAGUGGAAUUUCCUGUGUAGCGGUGAAAUGCGUAGAUAUAGGAAGGAACACCAGUGGCGAAGGCGACUACCUGGACUGAUACUGACACUGAGGUGCGAAAGCGUGGGGAGCAAAC